rnacentral:rRNA from 1 species
GUGGGGGAUAUUGCACAAUGGGGGAAACCCUGAUGCAGCGACGCCGCGUGGAGGAAGAAGGUUUUCGGAUUGUAAACUCCUGUCGUUAGGGACGAUAAUGACGGUACCUAACAAGAAAGCACCGGCUAACUACGUGCCAGCAGCCGCGGUAAAACGUAGGGUGCAAGCGUUGUCCGGAAUUACUGGGUGUAGAGGGAGCGCAGGCGGGAAGACAAGUUGGAAGUGAAAACCAUGGGCUCAACCCAUGAAUUGCUUUCAAAACUGUUUUUCUUGAGUAGUGCAGAGGUAGGCGGAAUUCCCGGUGUAGCGGUGGAAUGCGUAGAUAUCGGGAGGUACACCAGUGGCGAAGGCGGCCUACUGGGCACCAACUGACGCUGAGGCUCGAAAGUGUGGGUAGCAAACAGGAUUAGAAACCCGAGUAGUCC